rnacentral:rRNA from 1 species
UUGAGAGUCCUGAAGGAACGUUGAAGACGACGACGUUGAUAGGCCGGGUGUGUAAGCGCAGCGAUGCGUUGAGCUAACCGGUACUAAUGAACCGUGAGGCUUAACCUUACAACGCCGAAGCUGUU